AGAGUUUGAUCCUGGCUCAGGAUGAACGCUAGCGACAGGCCUAACACAUGCAAGUCGAGGGGUAACAGGGAAGCUUGCUUCCGCUGACGACCGGCGCACGGGUGCGUAACGCGUAUGAAACCUACCUUAUACCGGGGGAUAGCCCGAAGAAAUUCGGAUUAAUACCGCAUAACAUACUGAAGUGGCAUCACUUUAUUAUUAAAACUCCGGUGGUAUAAGAUGGUCAUGCGUGACAUUAGCUGGUUGGUGAGGUAACGGCUCACCAAGGCAACGAUGUCUAGGGGUUCUGAGAGGAAGGUCCCCCACACUGGUACUGAGACACGGACCAGACUCCUACGGGAGGCAGCAGUGAGGAAUAUUGGUCAAUGGACGCAAGUCUGAACCAGCCAUGUCGCGUGCAGGAAGACUGCCCUAUGGGUUGUAAACUGCUUUUAUAUGGGAAGAAUGUGACCUACGUGUAGGUUUUUGCCGGUACCAUAUGAAUAAGCAUCGGCUAACUCCGUGCCAGCAGCCGCGGUAAUACGGAGGAUGCAAGCGUUAUCCGGAUUCAUUGGGUUUAAAGGGUGCGUAGGCGGAAUAGUAAGUCAGAGGUGAAAGUUUGCGGCCCAACCGUAAAAUUGCCUUUGAUACUGUUAUUCUUGAGUACAUUUGAGGUAGGCGGAAUGUGGCGUGUAGCGGUGAAAUGCUUAGAUAUGCCACAGAACACCGAUUGCGAAGGCAGCUUACUAAACUGUAACUGACGCUGAUGCACGAAAGCGUGGGGAUCGAACAGGAUAUACCCUGGUAGUCCACGCCGUAAACGAUGAUAACUAGCUGUUUGCGAUACACAGUAAGCGGCAAAGCGAAAGCAUUAAGUUAUCCACCUGGGGAGUACGUUGGUAACAAUGAAACUCAAAGGAAUUGACGGGGGCCCGCACAAGCGGAGGAACAUGUGGUUUAAUUCGAUGAUACGCGAGGAACCUUACCUGGACUUAAAUGUAGGCUGCAUAGAUCAGAGAUGGUCUUUUCUUCGGACUGCUUACAAGGUGCUGCAUGGUUGUCGUCAGCUCGUGCCGUGAGGUGUCGGGUUAAGUCCCAUAACGAGCGCAACCCACGUUGUUAGUUACCAGCACAUAAUGGUGGGCACUCUAACAAGACUGCCGGUGUAAACCGCGAGGAAGGUGUGGAUGACGUCAAAUCAGCACGGCCCUUACGUCCAGGGCUACACACGUGUUACAAUGGCCGGUACAGAGGGCCGCUACCUGGUGACAGGAUGCGAAUCUCAAAAACCGGUCUCAGUUCGGAUCGAAGUCUGCAACCCGACUUCGUGAAGCUGGAUUCGCUAGUAAUCGCGCAUCAGCCAUGGCGCGGUGAAUACGUUCCCGGGCC
rnacentral:rRNA from 1 species